AUCAGGAAGGCACAUGUUGUGCUGCUUAAGAAGCAGUAUCCUGUAGUCCCAGGCACCGUGCACAAGUCCCAGAGCUCUCUUCUGCAAAAGAAGUAAGACACUUCCCAAAUAUUCAGGAUAUAUGCUGUGUCUAAUCUACCUACGCUGCAAGAAUGAUUACUUUUCCAUUCCCAUAUAGAUUUCUCCCUCAUCAAAGGGCAAAAUUCCUUCAGGAAGAAGCCAAAGGGAAGAAUCAGUGAAACAAUGUGUGAUUAGCCUGUUUGAUUCAAUACUAUUGACUGUGACUAAAUCAAUGUAGAAACUAUGCAGACUGAAUUCGCUGGAAUGAUAACAGCAUAGCUAAAGGGUUUGCAACUCAAUUACCCAUCAGAAAUCGCCACAACCACUUCAGCCUUCAACAACUGCCACCCUGAUCAGUCAACAGCCAUCAACAUCGAGGCAAAGACCCUCUGCAAACAAAAAGAUUAUGAUUUACUGAAAGGCCAGAUGAUGCAAAGGACUAAUACUACAGUGAAAUUGUACUAUCGCGCUCUUUGUUGGAGAAGAUGAGACUGGAAACUUAAUCUCAGCCAUUGAAUAUGCACCUGCUUCUCAGAUUGGCAAGGCAACAAUUUACUGUGAAGAAUCAGUUGUUUUGAAUGGCUAAUUGGUUACAGGUGCAAUGAAUUAGCCAUCUGCCUUAGAGACUGACUCAACUAAGGGAAGGAAAAUCCUUUUCUGUCACUUUGGGAGCACAUCAGUGAGCUGUGAUUCUAACUUGGAAUUUGUGGAUUCUAUGUGGGAUGAGUGUUUGUCAUGCUGGCGACCUGCACUUUAGAAAAUGCACCUGAGGAACUACUUCCAAGGACUAUUUGCACCGGAAUACCAAACCUGAGCCUGAUACUGCCUCAAAGAGAGAGAGCACAAGCACGGGGAGUAGCAGAGUCUUCACUGAGCAGAGUCCAAUGCAAGGCUUGAUUUCAGGAUCCUGGGAUCAGGAACUGAGCUGAAGGCACUCUUGACUGACUGAACCACCCAGGAGCACUUGGCUACCAUGUGGACAGGAGAUGGUAGCAGGCAAGAAGUGGAGGCCAAGAAGCCAGUGUGGAGCCAGGGAACAUUUCAGGUGAAGAGGAUGACUCUAAUUCUCUGGGUUUCCAGCUCAAUAGUUCUUAGGAGGUGGUGUUUCCUGUAUGGAAGGGUCAAGCAUGUCCUGGAAACUAAUGCAGAAAAAAGGACUUAACCUCCAAGAAAAUUUGUAUCUAAUUUUGAAUUGCUCAUGGCAGCAUUAAAAAGGAGAAAUGAAAACAGAGUAGAAGAGGGGAGAUUAGAUAGCAGCAGAGUGGAUUGUUUACUUGCCUUUGCUUCCUGGAUUUUCAUUCUUUUCUUUUAUCUCUGCAGCCUUGAGGAUUUAUUGGCACCCAUUUCAUUUGUCUUUCUCCAGAUUUAAAAUUGAAGUGAUGAGAUGGAAUAUUACCUGUGUGCUUCAGAACAUCCAUGAGUGACAUGUGAUAGUUGCCCAGGAAACUAGAGAUGAAAUUCCACAGGCCUUUGAGAUGCUUUACAUUUGAGAAUAAAGUUCAGCUGAAGUUUAAAUAGCAUCCUGACAGUGAGCAUUGAUCCCUCAUGUUAUCUGUUAGAAUAUUAGAGCUGCUGAUGACAGAAAACCCCCAACUCAAAGUGGCUAAACCAACAAAGAAAUUUAUUAUCUAAUAGAACUGCAAGUCCAGAGGUAGGGUGGGCUCCAAGUGGAUAAUAAUGAAAAGUUUAAUAUAAUCAAGGAUCUAGAUCCUUUUUUUCUUUCUCCUCUGCUGUCCUCAGCUAUCCCCUAAGGCUGGCUGGCCUUGUGGUCUUGAGAUGGCUGUUAAUGAUAACCUGAGCAAUAUUAAUUCUUAUUUAUGCUAGCAGGAGAGGAAAGUGGAGAUUUCUCCCUUAAACCUAGAAAAUAGGGAUGCCUGGGUGGCUCAGUGGUUAACCGUCUGCCUUCGGCUC